GACGAACGCUGGCGGCGUGCUUAACACAUGCAAGUCGAACGGUAAGGCCCUUCGGGGUACACGAGUGGCGAACGGGUGAGUAACACGUGGGUGAUCUGCCCUGCACUUCGGGAUAAGCCUGAGAAACUGGGUCUAAUACCGGAUAGGACUCCGGACUGCAUGGUCUGGGGUGGAAAGCUUUUGCGGUGUGGGAUGGGCCCGCGGCCUAUCAGCUUGUUGGUGGGGUGAUGGCCUACCAAGGCGGCGACGGGUAGCCGGCCUGAGAGGGUGACCGGCCACACUGGGACGGAGAUACGGCCCAGACUCCUACGGGGGGAAGCAGUGGGGAAUAUUGCACAAUGGGCGCAAGCCUGAUGCAGCGACGCCGCGUGAGGGAUGACGGCCUUCGGGUUGUAAACCUCUUUCAGCAUCGACGAAGCGAAAGUGACGGUAGGUGCAGAAGAAGGACCGGCCAACUACGUGCCAGCCGCCGCGGUAA
rnacentral:rRNA from 1 species